UGUAUUUCGCAGGCGAAUCGGCGAAUUUUUUACAAGAAGAUUGCAUACGUUCGUCUCUCUUUUCGUUAUUCGGCGCGAUUGCUAAGUGCAUGUUGUUGUGACUUUCGAUACGAAUUCGUAUUUUCCUCAUUACCGCGAGGAACGAGCGUUUUUUGGAUUAUCACACUCAUCAAUGUGGUAAAGAAUCUCGAAAUAUAUUACGUAGAUUUCAUCGCGAUAAACCUUACUCAACAACGGAUCCAUCAUUUUCGCCGUUUUCAUACGUCACAGCCGGUAUAAUGCGGCAUCUCGUUUCAUCAACGCCGGCACGAGCGAUAAUGGUGUGAUAAGUUAUACGCGUUAGCCGCGUAUCACAGUAUGUCGAUCGCGAAAUAUCCCCGCAGCAAUCGUGCGGCAUAAGCGUUCAUGGCGCGUCACAGUCCGAGUUCGCUGCCGCAAUAGUGCCAUUAAUGAAAAUUAUAAACUAAAAAAAGAAUAGUUGACUGCUGAUGCAAUUAACUUUGUGCGAAAUGGACAUUUGCGCUGUGUAGGUUCCGAGAAUUAUUUGGCAGAAGAGAAGCGUUUGUCGUAGUACUACGACGAGAUGCCGAAGAUGCUAACGAUUUUCAAAGAGACUAGAAGAAGCCUAGGUUGCUCGCCGUAUCACACGUGAAUAGUCCAAAGAGUGUGAGAAAAAUUUGCAGAAGGUGUCGGAACAUCAUCUUCAACUCCAUAUAAUAAUAUGUCGAAGAAGAUUCGUAUGGGAACAACAUAAGCCUUCUAGUAUGCUAAAAGAUUAUAAUGCAAGUUUAUUGAAAUUAAAAUGUUAGAAAAUUAAUUUCUGAGAAUAUCUGAUAAUGGCAAAAAAUAUUGCAGAAGACACUAAAACAUCAGUGGAUAAAGACAAGAUGUCAGAACCUUCCUCAACAACUUCUGCAGCCAAUAAAGCAGUUUCCUGUGAUGAAGAGAAACAUGAAUUACCAGAGAUUGACAAAGCAUCUAUUUCUGGAGAAACUGCAGGUACUAUCACUCAAAAAGAAGAAGAAGAAAAAGAAGUUACUGAAAGUACAGCAUUACUUGAGCUUAAACAACAACAAAAUACUUGUAAAUCUGACUGCAAUGGAGAUCCUGAGGAGGAAACUAAUCUCGAAAAAGAAGUUUCUGAAGAAAUCGAAACAAAGACCAAAGAAAAUAACGAAUCCUGUUCUGUGAAAACAAAUUCUAAUAAUAAAGAAACCACGGAAUAUCUCUCCCAGGUAGACCAAAAAUUGAGCAAGAUUUUACAAGACUUGCAUGAAGAUUUACAAAUACUUCAGAGUUCUAACACACCUGCAACUGUGACAGAUGAUGCAGAAGAUAGCAGUGAAAAAGAACAGACGAUAAUAAAAGACGAAACUGAUUUGGAAAACGAUAUGACAGAUAGCACAAAAGAGUCUACUACUUCCGUGACUGCGAAGAGUACAGAGGACAAGAGGGAUUCAAGUGAAUCUUCGGAGAAAACAGAAGAGAAAUCAGAAGUCGGAAUUGUUGGUCCUCCGACCGCGGUUAGCGAGCUUAUUAAUGAGGAAGAACUUGGGGGCGACUCUGCAUUAUCGGCCGAUCAAAAGGAUCACGUAGCAGAAUGGGUGGAGAACUGGGUGAAUCCUGAAGAAGAGGAUAACGUUACCAAAGGAUGUAAACAAAACAUAUACGAAGAAAAAAGUGCGGCGGACGAGAGAGCAAAAUGGAAGAAGCACAAUGACGUUCCUUCUAUAUCGCCCAGAAAAUCGCAGAAGAUUGUUUGCAACAUCAUAAAGAGGAGCAUCAAAUGUUUGAACAACAAGAUGCACGCGAUGGAGGGUGCGAUCGAAAGCAAAAAGAAGGUGAGCACCGCGGAGGACAACAAGCCGCCGAAAACGUCGCCGUCCUCGUCGAAGGUACCACAGAACCAGCAGAACGGCGCCGCCCUUCCGGAGGAGACGGCCGCGGCGUCGACGACGGCGGUGGGUCACAUUCGCACCAAGAAGGAAACAGUGACGAAGGAUGAGAUGCAGGAGGACGCCGAAAUGUCGGACACGAAGAUCAGCAAGCAGUUGCUCGCGAGUACGUCGCGGCAGAAGGACUCGAGCCCCACCGAUCUCACGCAACAUCACGCCGAGCCCGUCGAGAGCGUUAAAAAACGGAAGUCCACCGAGGGACAAUUAUCCUCGUUUGGUAAUCGUAGAAAGAAGAUUUGCGUCGACAGCGAGCGGGAGAAAUACAUCUCAGAAGUUGUCGGCGAUGAAAGUAAGACGAUCGACCAGCUCAUGGAUAAGGCCGGUCAGCUACGACAUGAAAUUCUGUACCUCGAGAAUUCAGCGCGCGAGAAAGAAAUGGAAUGGAACGAGAUUCUGAGAAAGCGGAAGUUGAAAGAGGAAGCAUACGCGAGGCUCGAGAGAAAAAUACAUAUGAUAGUCUAUAUGGAGAACGACGGUCAGCUGCAGAUGCCGUCCACUAAAUCGUCAUUGGCCUCGAUCGACUGGGAGAACAGUGGCAACACUACUCCCAUAUCGAGGGAGAAAUCUUUCGGAUCUAAGGACGAUCUGUCCGAAGAGAGAUCUUCGGAUUCAGUAGCACCGAAGAGAGAGAGGACUGCGAAGACUACCUCACAGCAACGGACGACUCCGCCGAAAACCAACGGAGAAAGCAGUCGCAAGCAGAACGAAGCGUCGAGCCCGGAUAGUCGGCAGAUCGGAGAAGGCCGACAAGGUGCAAUAGUGGAUGUCAGAUCUAUCAUCGCCGAUCAUAGACUCAAGCAUCCGGAAGCCGUACCGAGAAGAGGUCGGAGGAUGAGGAAUUCGGUGAACAUCGGCCUUGGAGCUGGCGGCGCCAUGGUCGAGACGGGGCACAAUGCCGACUCGAGACCAUCUAGCACGGAAUCGUGCAAGAGUAAUCCAAGUACGAGCGAUUCUAUGAACUACAAGGAUAUACUAAUGCAAUUUGCCAAAAUGAGCCAGCAAGGUGAACCAGUCAAGGUACCGCAGAAUUAUCCAGAUGUGACACUUCAUCCUGUAGCACCUUCGUCCGCAGGUCAAAAUACCGCGUCUCAACCGAGUGGUUCGCUACUUCACGGGAUUCUAACAAAAGCGCAGUCGCCGAGAUCCAAUACUUUUUCACCUACUUUAGCUAGAUUACUCACCGCACCUGAAAGAGAAAGGAAUUCUCCGGUGACCGCGGCGGUGGCGUCUAUGUCGCAGCAAAGCGCCACAACCCAUUUGCAGACAUACCAAGGCUCUAAUAUGGUUUCCAUAAACGAUCUCCUAUCUUCUUCCAAGGCUCGCACAGAGAUAACUAUAACUCCUGUCGUUAAUACCCCUGCUCAAUCUCACUCCAACGAUUUAAUCCAAGUGGAGGAUGCAGAUGAGGAAGCAACGAUGAUCGAUGAUAGAAAGGGAAAUUUGGUGGGUGGAAGGGAUAAUAAGCAAAUGGCAAAGGACAAUCCACCUUCGCCAAGCGCCCCACCAAAGUGUCAAGGAUGCAUGACUCGUCCUGCACAAUUCGUUUGCGCUGGUUGUGGAAAUCAGUGGUAUUGCAGCCGUGGAUGUCAACUUGCCUCAUGGGCGACACACUCCGAUUACUGUCCACCUGAGUCCGAAAACAGUAAAGUCAAGUCCAACGUUUAACGCUUAACGUCUCUGCAUGCCCGGUGACAUCUGCACAUCAGAUGCGGUAUCAGGAGGAAGAGAUUCCUGUACCCAAUGAAUCUAGUCAUCAAAACAACUUUGAUAAUAUAAUUUGUUUUUAUCGUUAAACGAGAUGCAGAGACUUAGAAGAAAAUUACCGUAUCGAGAAGGUUCGAAGAAGGCACAUGAUACAGGAGCUACAGUCAUUCAGUCGCGCUGCAAGUCGAUGCAGCCAAGCGUGCCUCGAUCUUCCACAUACAUUUCUAUAGAAAAGUUUUAAAAACUCUAUACACUACUUGAUCAUAAUUGCAAGUAGGUCAUCCGUAUACCAUGGCCCUUAGAUUUAAUAAAACUUUAGUUUUAGCAUA
rnacentral:misc_RNA from 1 species